rnacentral:rRNA from 1 species
UACGGGGGGGGCAAGCGUUGUUCGGAAUUACUGGGCGUAAAGGGCUCGUAGGCGGCCAACUAAGUCCGACGUGAAAUCCCCAGGCUUAACCUGGGAACUGCGUCGGAUACUGGAUGGCUUGAAUUCGGGAGAGGGAUGCAGAAUUCCAGGUGUAGCGGUGAAAUGCGCAGAUAUCUGGAGGAACACCGGUGGCGAAGGCGGCAUCCUGGACCGGUAUUGACGCUGAGGCGCGAAAGCCAGGGGAGCAAACGGG